CGUAGGUGGCAAGCGUUGUCCGGAUUUAUUGGGUUUAAAGGGUGCGUAGGCGGCCCUGUAAGUCAGUGCUGAAAUAUCCCGGCUUAACCGGGAGGGUGGCAUUGAUACUGCAGGGCUUGAGUAAAGUUGAGGUUGGCGGAAUUGACGGUGUAGCGGUGAAAUGCUUAGAUAUCGUCAAGAACACCGAUAGUGUAGACAGCUAACCAAGCUUUAACUGACGCUGAGGCACGAAAGUGUGGGGAUCAAACAGGAUUAGAUACCCUGGUAGUCCACACUGUAAACGUUGAUGACUCGCUGUUGGCGAUAUACAGUCAGCGGCUUAGAGAAAUCGUUAAGUCAUCCACCUGGGGAGUACGCCGGCAACGGUG
rnacentral:rRNA from 1 species